UACAGAGGGUGCGAGCGUUAAUCGGAGUUACUGGGCGUAAAGGGCGCGUAGGCGGUUAUUUAAGUGAGAUGUGAAAUCCCUGGGCUUAACCUAGGAACUGCAUCUCAUACUGGAUAGCUAGAGUAUUGUAGAGGGUAGUGGAAUUUCCGGUGUAGCGGUGAAAUGCGUAGAGAUCGGAAGGAACACCAGUGGCGAAGGCGGCUACCUGGACAAAUACUGACGCUGAGGCGCGAAAGCAAGGGGAGCAAACAGG
rnacentral:rRNA from 1 species